rnacentral:misc_RNA from 1 species
ACUACAGGGGUAUCUAAUCCUGUUUGCUCCCCGCUUUCGUUACAGGCGUCAGUGUUAUCCCGGGAGAGGCUGCCUUCGCCAUCGGUGUUCCUCCGCAUAUCUACGCAUUUCACUACACGCGGGAAUUCACCUCCCUCUGACACACUCUAGCUCGGUAGUUAAAAAUGCAGUUCAAAGUUAAGCUCUGGGAUUUCACAUCUUUCUUUCCGAACCGCCUGCGCACGCUUUACGCCCAGUAAUAAUUCCGAUUAACACUUGCACCCUACGUAUUGCCGCGGCUGCUGGCUGUGGUUAACCGGUGCUUAUUCUGGUACCGUCAGUUGCGCAGGGUAUUGCUU